UGCGACGGUCGGAUGAAUGGUGUAUUUAGAAUUUGUUCAUUUUAUCGACCUAGCAAGUGCAAGCUCUUUCCGUUGGUGAACGCCGUAGAGCUAAGAAGUGCGCGGUGUCUUAGUUUAAAAAGAUAAAAGCUAUACAAAAAACGAGACGUUCACAAAUAAAAAGUUAUCACAGAAGAAAACGGAAAACUAAAAGUAAAAUACACAAAAGUUGUUAACAAAAAUACUAAAAUCAUCGUUAAAAUGUGUUAAAACAACAAAUUAAAAAGACAUUGAAUCGUUGUGUGUAUUUAAAGCUUAAAAUCGUGAAACGUUACAACGAAGAUACAACGAAACAUAUUAAAACCAGAUACUAAAGAAAAAGGUAAAAAAAUUGUAAAAUGUAAAUAUGUAGUAAUUGUGAAAAUAAUUGUAAGAAAAACAUGUGGUCACAAAUAUGACGUCACAGGUGUAGUAACUGCUCUGUCAGGUCCAGAGGACCUUUUUCUUUUUAUAUUUCCGUUCAAGCUCCGUAUCGACCUCGUUGGGUAGCCGUCGGGACCAAAACCAAAAAGGUCUUCGCCAGGACAAGAAGCCACAAGUCCCAAAACGAACCUAACCUCACUUUGGUUCAACUUUCACCUAUGUGGAACAUCGUUGGCAUCAACUGAAAACAACACCGUUUCGGGACGCCGAAACUGGUGUGUAAUCGCCGAGGUAGCUGCCCUGUUGGAAAAGAAAACUUCCGAUUUACGAGCUUGGACAAAUGAAACUACACCAAACCGCAAGUAUAACGACAGUGACGUCUCAGGUUUAGGGCCCAUGCCAUUAAUAAAUAAGCGCUUUGUAAUGUCCAAAAUCAGCCCUCCUGUCUAGUUAUUUUUAGUUGGAUUUACAGCCACAUUAAGUUUGCUAUCGAAAUAACGUUUUAUCCCAUGCCUCCCUCUGAGGUGUUCCAACAAAUUGUUUGCACUUUGGUCUUUCGGGUUUAUCUCGUCCGACAACGGUUGGUAACAUGCGAGGUACCACUCGCAUGUGUAGCACAGGUUUGCCAUCCCGCCUCUUGGACAUCUCUAUCUGAGUUUCUCAAGGGAGAAAGUAGCCCUGCAAGUGACAUCCGUAGAAAAUCCGACCCUGAGUCCCACUCAUUUCACCGAAUUCCACCCACCAGAAAAAACCACCCACCC